UACGGAAGGCAGCAGUGGGGAAUAUUGCACAAUGGGCGCAAGCCUGAUGCAGCCAUGCCGCGUGUAUGAAAAAGGCCUUCGGGUUGUAAAGUACUUUCAGUCGUGAGGAAGGUGUUAAGGUUAAUAACCUUAGCAAUUGACGUUAGCGACAGAAGAAGCACCGGCUAACUCCGUGCCAGCAGCCGCGGUAAUACGGAGGGUGCGAGCGUUAAUCGGAAUUACUGGGCGUAAAGGGCACGCAGGCGGUUAAUUAAGUUGGAUGUGAAAUCCCCGGGCUUAACCUGGGAAUGGCAUUCAAGACUGGUUAGCUAGAGUCUUGUAGAGGGGGUAGAAUUCCACGUGUAGCGGUGAAAUGCGUAGAGAUGUGGAGGAAUACCGGUGGCGAAGGCGGCCCCUGGACAAAGACUGACGCUCAUGUGCGAAAGCGUGGGGAGCAAACAGGGAUUAGAUACC
rnacentral:rRNA from 1 species